AUAUAUAUAAAAAUAAGUAAAACAUGUGACACAAGUACAACCAAUCGUAUGAUAGAUAACAAAAAAUGAAAAAUAAAUAAGCCAUUUAGAGCGUUCUCCAUAUCAUGGUGUUUAGAUCGCAAGAAUCACAACUAUUCUACCUCCUUAGAGAGGACAAUUAUUUUUCGCGUUUCAUAUAUAUCAUGAUCAUGGUGUUCGAAUCGCAAGAACCACAAC
rnacentral:lncRNA from 1 species